UGACUGGUUGAUCCUGCCAGUAAUAUACGCUUAACUCCGAGACUAAGCCAUGCAAGUGGAGUUCAGCUUCGGCAAGACUGCGGACGGCUCAGUAGGAUCGUUGUGAUGCUCGCAGGAGACGAAACGGAUAACCACGGGAAUUCCGCGGCUAAACCGGAAAGCGACACGGGUACGGAGAUUAUUUCCGGAUCAGAGGGAUUUACGAUGGCCUGCAGCAGCGACGAGCCCAUCAACUAGUCGGUAGGGUAACGGCCUACGGAGGUUGUGACGGGUGCGGGGGAUCAGGGUCCGAUUCCGGAGAGGGAGCAUGCGAGACGGCUACCAUGUCCAAGGACAGCAGCAGGCGCGAAAAUUACCCAAUCCCUAUCGGGGAGGUAGUUAGGAGACAUACGAUGAAUGGCGCCGGGGUAAAUGUCCGGCGGAGGAGCGACCAGAGGGCAAGUCUGGUGCCAGCAGCCGCGGUAAUUCCAGCUCUGGGAGUGUAUAGUAAAGUUGUUGCAGUUAAAAGGUCCGCAGUCGAGGGUGUUUGGCGUUGAGGAAAGGGGAGUGUUUAUGGGACACCAGUUUGCAUUGGACCUACCUGAGACGAGCACAGGGAGCCGGGGGGACCAUGUCGGGAGGAGUGAAACCCUUAGAUCGGCGUGGGACGAGCAGAGGCGAAGGCGCCCGGCGGGGGUGUUUCGGGUGACGAUGGACGAAGGCCGGGGGAGCGAAGAUGAUUAGAUACCGUCGUAGUCCCGGGAGUAAACGCAGCCGCGGGCGAUGGGCUAUGGUCUGCCGCCGACCGAAAGGACGCGGUUCUGGGGGGAGUAUGGUCGCAAGGCUGGAACUUAAAGGAAUUGACGGAAGGGCACCACCAGGGGUGGAGCCUGCGGCUUAAUUUGACUCAACACGGGGAAGCUUACCAGGGGAGGACGCGGGGAUGAGCUUAUGGGCGAUUCCGCGGAUGGUGGUGCAUGGCCGUUGUUGGUUCGUGGCGUGAGCAGUCUGGUUAAUUCCGGUAACGAGCGGCGCCUGCGUUGUAGACAGCCUGCGCGAGCAGGAGGAAGGGCAGGCGAUAACAGGUCUGUGAUGCCCCUCGAUGCCCUGGGCCGCACGCGGGCUACACUGGCACGCCGAGAAGACCCGCGAGAGGGAGCGCGUGUCGUGGCGGGGACUGCCGCCUGGAACGGCGGCACGAACCAGGAAUCCCUAGUAGGCGCGUGUCUGCACCGCGCGCCGACUGUGUCCCUGCCCUUUGUACACACCGCCCGUCGAUACUACCGAUGUGUGCUGCGCCGAGCAUGCGUGCAAGGCCCCGCACAUAGAGGAAGUAAAAGUCGUAACAAGGUUUCCGUAGGUGAACCUGCGGAAGGAUCACAG
rfam:Amphiamblys sp. WSBS2006 Amphi_417, whole genome shotgun sequence.